UACGUAGGGUGCGAGCGUUGUCCGGAAUUACUGGGCGUAAAGAGCUCGUAGGUGGUUUGUCGCGUUGUUCGUGAAAACCGGGGGCUUAACCCUCGGCGUGCGGGCGAUACGGGCAGACUGGAGUACUGCAGGGGAGACUGGAAUUCCUGGUGUAGCGGUGAAAUGCGCAGAUAUCAGGAGGAACACCGGUGGCGAAGGCGGGUCUCUGGGCCAUAACUGACGCUGAGGAGCGAAAGCGUGGGGAGCGAACAGG
rnacentral:rRNA from 1 species